CCACGAUAUGGGCAUCGACAGGUGGCA
rnacentral:piRNA from 1 species